rnacentral:lncRNA from 1 species
CAACUAGGGAAGGGACUGAAUUCCAAAAUGUCAUAGUUUUCCACUUGAGCAGGGUGAGGACAAGUGAGUCCCUUUUGGGGAUCAUCACAGCCACUAUUAGAAGAAAGACUAAGCAAACAAGAGGGAACUGGGAAGUGGAAAGAAGCCCUAAGCUUAAGAGGAAACCCCCAACCCAGGAAAGGAGGAGCCUUGGUACAAGAUCUAGGAGAGUGUAAACUGCUCCCAAGAGGUGCUUCCAAGGAC